rnacentral:misc_RNA from 1 species
AAAAAAAAAAAAAAAAAAUUAAGGCUCUCUUGACAUAUUGAUUUGUUAUGCUAAGGUCAGCUUUGCAUCUAAGAAAACAAUAAGAAAGAUGAAAAAGAAUACUUUGAGGCCAUUUAUCACUUCAGAGUGCAGAGGAAGCAAGUGUUCAGGUAAACUUGCAAAACAAAUGACAAAAGAUGUUAACUACCACAAAAUAAUUUGUUAUGCUGUGACCAUGCGUAAUUUGUAUACAUUACUGUUUCAAAGAUAGCUUUGACAUACUUUCCAAGUGCUGUCAACCUCUGGAAACAUGCU